CCAAUAAUACCUUUGAUCAGUCAACACAAAAGGUGUUUAUGCUGGCUCCGCUUUUAGGCAGUGCCUAAAUCUAUAUAUUAUCAAAGGCGCUGGACGUCAUAGAGGUUGCUUAAUACUACGGUCAUUAUUAGUAGUAGCUAUCAAUUUUUUAGACAGACCAGGCGCCAAAUAUUCGAGAAAUUUAUCUGUGAGAGCACGAAGAAUGCUUGGGAUUGUUUGCGGCACUUCCCGCGAGUUGUUGAUUUUGUGAGCUUAUCAAAUAAUGGCAUGUGUGUUCAAGCAGCGGUUUGUCUAUUUAGACGAAAAAGCCUGUAGUAAAUUGGUGAUGUGAAUAUGCUAGUUGUAAGUUAGUGAUGUGUGGAUCUGUAGUCUUAUCGUAAAUCUCCUGAGCCGUGAAUUAUCUUUGCGUUUCAAAUCAUUUAGCGAACCGUGGUUCGUCGUUACUAAAAUUAUUACCCUUGCAUAUAACACCAAUGUAGUUUUGUUUUACACAAAAGCUGUUUAUAAUUUCAUUUGGGCAUUUGAUUGUGCCACCACGCGAGUCAUUGGAAAAUUGACCAGUGCGGUCUUCAGCCAGUUCAGGAGGAACGCGUAACGCAAUCAUUUCUAUUGUCUCACCGAGGUCACGCAUCAGUCGUGCUGGAAAACUACCGCAGACCGGAAAAGCUGUAUUUUUUCGCGCCCGUGCUAUACAUCCGUGAGCUGAUUGUUGCGUAAGCUAGAGGAAGAUUAGAGGAGUAGAUCGACUUGAAAUACGGCCAGAUUUACCAAAUAAAUAUCUCUUUAUCGAAGUUCGACGAUAGCGCACCGAGUGUCUCAUCCGCCAUAUUGGAAGAGGAAUGUGUCUAUUUAUAGUUCUAAAAGUGUUAAGAGGGUUAAAAUGUGCCAAGAAUUGCCAAAGACAGAGCAUUGGAAUGGUCGACGAUGAUCGGUCGAUGAUACAAAGGAAACAUUAAAAUUCUUCAAGACAACACAAAGAACAAGAAAGCAAAAUUUACUCUUUAGUGUGUUGAUUUUGUAGAGUAGACAAUAAAAACACAAAUUGGUUUUGGUUGAGCGCUUGUAUGGGUUUUAGAUAGCGAAAUAUCCAAUAAAAUGUUAAACCAAGCAAAUUUAUCGUGAAGGCUCUAAUUCCAUCCAUGUAA